rnacentral:rRNA from 1 species
AGGAUUUAGAUACCCUGGUAGUCCACGCCGUAAACGAUGUCGACUUGGAGGUUGUGCCCUUGAGGCGUGGCUUCCGGAGCUAACGCGUUAAGUCGACCGCCUGGGGAGUACGGCCGCAAGGUUAAAACUCAAAUGAAUUGACGGGGGCCCGCACAAGCGGUGGAGCAUGUGGUUUAAUUCGAUGCAACGCGAAGAACCUUACCUACUCUUGACAUCCAGAGAACUUAGCAGAGAUGCUUUGGUGCCUUCGGGAACUCUGAGACAGGUGCUGCAUGGCUGUCGUCAGCUCGUGUUGUGAAAUGUUGGGUUAAGUCCCGCAACGAGCGCAACCCUUAUCCUUUGUUGCCAGCGGUUCGGCCGGGAACUCAAAGGAGACUGCCAGUGAUAAACUGGAGGAAGGUGGGGAUGACGUCAAGUCAUCAUGGCCCUUACGAGUAGGGCUACACACGUGCUACAAUGGCAUAUACAAAGAGAAGCGACCUCGCGAGAGCAAGCGGACCUCAUAAAGUAUGUCGUAGUCCGGAUUGGAGUCUGCAACUCGACUCCAUGAAGUCGGAAUCGCUAGUAAUCGUAGAUCAGAAUGCUACGGUGAAUACGUUCCCGGGCCUUGUACACACCGCCCGUCACACCAUGGGAGUGGGUUGCAAAAGAAGUAGGUAGCUUAACCUUCGGGAGGGCGCUUACCACUUUGUGAUUCAUGACUGGGGUGAAGUCGUAACNAGGUAA